rnacentral:rRNA from 1 species
GAUCAUGGCUCAAGAUGAACGCUAGCUACAGGCUUAACACAUGCAAGUCGAGGGGCAUCAGGAAGAAAGCUUGCUUUCUUUGCUGGCGACCGGCGCACGGGUGAGUAACACGUAUCCAACCUGCCCUUUACUCGGGGAUAGCCUUUCGAAAGAAAGAUUAAUACCCAAUAGCAUAAUGAUUCCGCAUGGUUUCAUUAUUAAAGGAUUCCGGUAAAGGAUGGGGAUGCGUUCCAUUAGGUUGUUGGUGG